GAUGAACGCUGGCGGCGUGCCUAAUACAUGCAAGUCGAGCGAACAGACGAGGAGCUUGCUCCUCUGACGUUAGCGGCGGGCGGGUGAGUAACACGUGUAUCACCUACCUGUCAGACUGGGAUCACUUCGGGACACCGGAGCUAAUCCCGGAUGAUCUCUUGCACCACGUGGUUCAAUGGUGAAAGUCGGUUUUGCUGGCACUUCUCGAUGGAUCCGCGCCGGAUUAGCUAGUUGGGACGGUAACGGCUUACUAAGGCAACGAUGCGUAGGCGACGUGAGAGGGGGAUAGGCCACACUGGAACGGGGACAGGGUCCAGGCGCCUACGGGAGGCAGCAGUAGGGAAUGGUACGCAACGGGCGGAAGCAUGACGGAGCAGCGCCGCGUGAGUGAUGGAGGCCUUCGGAGCGUGAAACUGUGUUAUGAGGGAAGAACAGAUGUGGAAGUAACUAUGCACGGCUUGACGGUACCGGAUCAGAAAGCCACGGCUAACUACGUG
rnacentral:rRNA from 1 species